rnacentral:rRNA from 1 species
ACUCAAAGGAAUAGACGGGGACCCGCACAAGCGGUGGAGCAUGUGGUUUAAUUCGAUACGACGCGCAGAACCUUACCAAGGCUUGACAUGAAGGGCAAUGUUAAAGAAAUUUAACAGAGGUUAUCCUAACACAGGUGGUGCAUGGUCGUCGUCAGUUCGUGCUGUGAAGCUUAUGCUUAAGUGCUAGAACGAACGCAACCCUUAUAUUUAGUUGCUAACAUUUAGUUGAGAACUCUAAAUAGACUGCUUGGGGAAACCCAACAGAGGUUAAACUCUGCAAGGUAACUUGGAGGAAGGAGAGGAUGACGUCUGAUCAUCAUGCCCCUUAUGCCUUGGGCUACACACGUGCUACAAUGGUUAGUACAAAGAGUCGCCAACUUGCAAAAGGGAGCCAAUCUCAAAAAACUAACCCAAGUUCGGAUUGAGGUCUGCAACUCGACCUCAUGAAGUAGGAAUCGCUAGUAAUCGUGAAUCAGCAAUGUCACGGUGAAUAUGUUCUCGGGUCUUGUACACACCGCCCGU